rnacentral:rRNA from 1 species
GACGAACGCUGGCGGCGUGCUUAACACAUGCAAGUCGAACGGAAAGGCCUGCUUGCAGGGUACUCGAGUGGCGAACGGGUGAGUAACACGUGGGUGAUCUGCCCUGCACUUCGGGAUAAGCCUGGGAAACUGGGUCUAAUACCGGAUAGGAGCCAUUUUUAGUGUGAUGGUUGGAAAGUUUUUUUCGGUGUAGGAUGAGCUCGCGGCCUAUCAGCUUGUUGGUGGGGUAAUGGCCUACCAAGGCGGCGACGGGUAGCCGGCCGGAGAGGGUGGACGGCCACAUUGGGACUGAGAUACGGCCCAGACUCCUACGGGAGGCAGCAGUGGGGAAUAUUGCACAAUGGGCGCAAGCCUGAUGCAGCGACGCCGCGUGGGGGAUGACGGCCUUCGGGUUGUAAACUCCUUUCGCUAGGGACGAAGCUUUUUGUGACGGUACCUAGAUAAGAAGCACCGGCUAACUACGUG